UAAUUUUAGUAUUCUCUUUGUUAUCCUAUUCUAUGUGGUAAGUCUAUCAGAUCAUUGGUCAUAAAUAAAUAAAUAGGUAAGGUCUUUACAAAAACCAGCAUAAAUCCUAAGCAAGAAUCCUAAAUCAAAGUCAACUGUCAAUAAAAUUUUUAUAAUGUAUACCUACCGCACUGAAGUAUGAAAUCUAAAAAUCUAUUAGUUUAUAAGUCUAUGUACCGUACCAUAGAUUAUACACCGUAAGAGAAUACAAAACUAAACAUCAUUGCUUGACUUUCUGUGGUUUAGGAGUAUGAGAAUAGAAGUAAUAGUGUUCUGUGUAUGAGAAUACUCAAUACAGACAGAAAGUUGUUUUAAAAAAUUGUCCGUCGAGUUUCUGUGUUCAAUUUCAUUGUUUUGUUUCAGUUAUUAGUGAGUGUACGUCUGCGCAGAAAUACCAAAAGCUGCAUAGCUUUUUAGACUGGACUGCGUUGCAAAUAAGGAUGGCCACUGCUCGUGGCUUCUUCUUCGACGACGAGACGGGCGAGUUGGUCACUUACGGUGUGAACGAAGAAACUGGCGAGCCGAUGGUUAAUAAUCCAACGGUGUCCUUUUUUGGAACACCUCGGCCCAUUCCACCGAUGGAGACUCCGAAUUUUCCAGAAGGUCCAAUGAGUCAGACAAAGAAGUUUCAAGCACUCAAGGAAAACAUAAUCGCAGGCUCCAAUCCCAUUAGCCACCGCAUGCUGCUCUUUCCAUCCGUGAUGAUUUUUCCGGAGCUCUUCUGUGUUCUGCUCCUCAUUCUAGAGGUGUAUCUACAUGUGAAGUGCCACAAGAAGAACAAAAAAUUAAAAGAUCAAAACUUGUACUACCGAAGUCCGUUUCAUGUCGUAACAAGUACUUUCUGUGGAGCAUGCCGUGAAAGUGAGCUGGCUUCUAGGAUAGGGCAGAUGCAAGACAAGCGACGCAAUCGUUACGACUACUUCAGAGGGAUUGCCAUAUAAUGUGGUAAUUAUUAUUAUAUCUAUUAAAACUAGCAGUUCAACUCACAGCUAAUGAGUUAUGUUUCUGUGUGUUUUUCCACUUUUUCUCCUAGAUCUAAGUAUAUUUCAAUAUAAAAGGCAUAAAAUUGUCGGUAUCUCUUCUAGAGAAUAUUUUGGGUAACGGUCCUAUUAUUAAGUAUCUAUGUAGGAUGUAUUUAGAAUUUUGAUGUAUACAGUAUGCAUUUAAAAACUUUGAUAUGUAAGAUGUGUUGGAAACAAUUAUUAAUGAUGAAUACAUGCUCGCUACAAGUAGCUACAUAUUUUGUUAUAAAAUUAAGAAUUUAGGCUCAUUCAGCUUGACUGAGGCAUCUGAUACCAUGAAACUAAAAAACUAUUGAAAUAUGUCAGGAGUUUACCAAUCGUCAUAUUGCCAGUAUAUUUUGCCAUUACUGAGGUUCAUUAUUGUUCAUGGUCAAAGUACAUCUAUGACCAGUCUUAUAGAGCUUUGUUAGAAGUUUUCAUGAAAUGCAAAAAAUCAAUAAAACAAAAGAAAGGGAACACUGUUAUAAAUUAUCCCAACAGGAGGGUGGUUGAGUGCUUUGCUCACUCGGUACCAAGCAGUUACCAGAACCUAUAUAUAUAUUGCAAAGUGAAUGCUGUUGUGAGAAAGGAAGCCGAAAUCUAAAUUGUAUUGUAGAAAAUCUGUUACACUCUUAAAGCUUGAACGCAUGACUGAUUUACGGCAGAAAAAGGCACAGAAUAGUAGUGCCAAACAGGCACAAUACCAACAAUAUAACCAUAUGAGACGUUACCUUUAUAAUAGUGGCCUAGAUUAAGAUGAGUAAUAAUUAUUUAAUAAGAUUGGUGUCUAUGAACACAAAGGUACUAAAUUGUGGUAAAUGUUAGUUUUAAAUGACUCUAACUGUAUUGGCGUAAGUAAUCACAUUCAUAAACAUUAUGUAAUUGUAUCUUCAUUAUAUGGUAAUGUUACAAAAUCAUCAAUUGAAAAUAUCUGUUUAAUUUUCCAAAUUAUUACACCAUUGCUGUUAAAAUAGUUCAUAGAUUCAAACUCAAAUUAAUCAACGGGAUAUUCUUUCAUUGAUAUUGAAUUUAAGCCUAUAAACUACAUGAAUAUAAUCUUCAACUAUGUAACCCUUAAUCUUAGCGUAAGCAUCUUGUAAUUAAUGAUACCACAUCUUUAAACAAGUGGUCAUAUUUAUAUAAGAAUUUCAAUCAUCUCUUUAAGUGUAGAUGAUGGCUUAACUGAGACGGCUCUGGUGAUGAUGAAAAGUCAAUCAUUUAUUCCAUACUAUUAUUAUACAGCAUAUUACUGUUAUAUUUAACAGAUGUAUUCAAAAUCUUUAAUUGGUCAAGUUAUACUGAAAUGGAGGAAUUCACUUGAGUAUUAUUGAAGUGACUGGAUACUAGCCGAUAGUGGCAAAAAUGUGAUCCUAUUAAUUAAAUACUCUUAGUAUUUUUUUUAGUAUUUUAUUAAUCAGGCAACUCAUCUCGUAAUGGCAAUAUAGCGUGCCUUUGAGCACCACACUUUUCCCACAUCCUGCAUAAGCCACCUCAGCUAAGCAAAUACAUAUAUAUAUAUUCCAGUAGAUAAACUUUUAAUAGUACUUAAAAAUGUAAAAUUUUGUAGUCUUCGCGUCAUUGAUAACGAGAGUAGACGCUCUGAUCAAAUUACAACUUUUUAAUAUAAAUAAUCAUUAUUUAAAAUUUAUCUAAAAUUUGAGAAUAUUUGUAAUUUAUGUUCCUCACCAACGUAAUAACCGGCUUGAGACAUCCAUCUCAUGUAUAUAAUAGUCGGUUGUUCAGGUGAUUUUUAAUGUUAUGAUGAAGAAAGAUACAGUACUACCUCAAUCAAGUAGUUUUAUAUAGUCCAGCUUUGUACUGGCAUCGGUACUUUGGUGAUGUAACAAUCGAGAAUCUAAUUGAGCGAUUUCUAAUUUCUGAAUUUUACGGUCAAUAAAUUUUAAAAAGUACUUUAAAUUCAACAACGCUUUUCCUCUUUCUGUCCGAAUUAAAAUAUCUCAAAAUGUUAAACGUAUUCACCCCACAUUGAACUCUCAAAUUCAAAUUAUUUCUGUUAUACGUAUAAAUAAAACAGUGGUUCUGAAUAUAUAUAAUAAACAAGUUUAUCUUAACACGUGUAUAUUAUUAACGAUUCUCGAUUGAUAUGUCGUCAUAGGUUAAGUAAAUGUUGUCGAAUUAUUUUCAAACUUGUGUUCCGUACGUGAAUUGAUUUUAAUUAAAGAGGACGUGGAGGAUUUUUCCUUUUGUGUUGGUAGUCUGAGGCUCAUCUCCGGGUGGCCGAAGAAUUAGAGUUCUUUGAUGUUAAUCUUAAGAAGAAAGUCGGUCUACUUUAGUCCAAAUACUUUAUUAUUAAUUAUUACUUUAAUUUUAAUCCUAAUAAUAAACAUGAAGUCUGAAGUAUUUAGUUGACUCUGGUACAUUUGUUUAAUUAUUUAAAUAUAUUUUUUAGUAUUAUCUCUAAUAGAAUAAAACUAUAUUACGCACACCUAAAUUUGCUCAAUUCCAAAUAUAAUAGUAUAAGUGUUAGUUACAAUUUGUUAUAAUAUAUCUUCAUUUCGUUUCUUUUACGCUCUCUCUGUGCUGAUCUUUUAUUUAAGUAUUCCGAAAAUAAUUAGAAAUUUGGUUAAUUACAUUUUUCUGAAGACGAAAUCUUCGAUCGUCCUUUAGCAUGACUCUGCUCACUACACAACCACGUCAAAGUCAAUAUAUUGGUUUUUUUUUUUGUUAUGUCAUAUCAUCGGCCUUCAAACACACACGGAACAAUUCGUAAAUUUCCUUGUCUUUGGACUAAACGUAGACUACGAAUAGAGGUAAUAAAAUUAUAUAAAAAAAAUUAUAUUAGGUAAGUUCGAUUUAUAUUCCGGUUAUUCGUAAAAUAAGUAUACAUAAAAUAGCAAAUGUACGAUAAAAAGUACACGGACAAAACUCGCGCAUGUGAUAACAGAAGUAGUAUGUACUGGUCAAGAAUGAACAAAUGUUCUGAGACUAGGGUAGGUAUGUGUUGUGUUCUCUACACUCAAAUUCCGUUUUAACUGAAUUACUGUCUUGUUUCGAUUGCAUCUUAAUUCCGAGGUGACAAUCACCCGCUCUUACCCUCGGUCGGACUUAAUUGGAAUGAACUGAACGCAUUCCGUUUAUUCCUUUCAAUGUAUUCCAAUUAAGCUCCCUGAAUCGAUCAAUAAUAUUUAUUAUUAAUCUGUAUGCUUAUUGCGAGUUUCUUAACGUUCUCCAUAGCGUAAAAGUUAAGCCAAUUAUGUAUACAGUUGCAACAGUAUCCCUAGCGGCAAACGUACGCAAACGAUCCCACUCCAUACAAACACGAGCUAACUUUUACGCUAUCGAGAACGUUAAUAAACUCGCACUAAGCACACUGGUGUGUUCGAAAUGAGACGGUAAUUGAGUAAUGGUGUUGUAAGUAAAUCUGUCCUAUAUACAUGUUCUUUCUCUGAUCUGUCAGCCCUUUUCUAAUGAAAUCAUUAGUUUGUAAGUUAAUUGAUAGUGGCAAAAAUUUAAGGCCGUUGACUUAUCCGGCAUUCGUAAAUCAUAAGAAAUAUAUAUGUAUUUAUAUAUAAAUAAAAUUACAUAUAUAUUGACUAAUAUCUCGUAACUAUUCACUAUGUUUAAAUUUAAUAAUAAUUCUACUAGUAUGUAGGUUUUAAAGUUUUCGACGAUGACUUGAUCAGAAUUUUCGGACGUGAUUAUUGAAAGAAAAGCGAUUACAACAAACACGCUUUUUAUUCGUAAUUUUUAAUUAUAAUAAGACUGAUGUCGCAAAAACGAAUGGUGUAUUGAAUGUUGUUGGAAAAAUAGGCCUGCUAGGUGGAAAAGACGAUUAUAGUUUAUUGAAAUAUAAAAAAAUACGAAGUCGUAAUUUGUAAUAUACAUAUAUAAUAAUAUAAUGUACAUACAUCUAUUACCGUGUUCAACUAAGGCUAUAUACAACGAAAAAAUUGAGGGUUUAAAUCCAAUAUCUGUAGGUAAAUUAAUCAGGCUAUGACGGUGCAUACAUUUAAUUAAUUGUAUCGGAAAUUCCUUUUAGCGAUCUUCAUAUGAAUUGUAGACAGAUCGAUCGUGCGGUCAUCCUGCCAUGCGCAGUGUACGCUGAUAGGCCCCAUCUCACGCUUCUCUCGGAACUUUGUUCGGCCCGGCUGAAAUCGAUUUGUCUGGCUCACCCCACAACAACCCCACCCUUCUAUUAAACUUAAUUGAACACGGUCCUAUAAUCGGACCUAUUUGCUAUCCAGUUAAGGACUUUCGAAAUUUAUAUAUAUUGAAAAUUAUUUUAAUGAAAUGACGGUAAUUUUGAAAAUGUUUUGAUUCUUGUGAUGUGGAUGUGAUUCUUAAAUUGGUAUCAUGAAAGAAUAUCCCGUAGUUAUUAAAUGUAUCCCAGAAAACUUCAGACCCUAAGUAUGUGCUGCCUACUUUUAAAACCCCUAUUUUCAGUCGAAGGUUAUCUUUCAGUGUUCUCUUUUAGCGUUAAGACUGCAUAUUGUACUUUUGUCGUCUAAUAGUUUGUAUUUUUUUUUGUGUGCAAUAAAGAUCUACUCUAUAGAUAUUUAUAAGUUAAAUGCGGAGUUUUCCAUAGAUGAGGAUAAACCAGUAAUAUGUAUAAGUGCUAUAACUAGAACAGACGGUAGACAAAAAACAAAUUCUCCUUCAAAUGGAGGGCGGCGGCGUAAUGUUAAUGCUCGCACUAAUGCCCAUAUGUUCAAAGACGGCAGUGACCACUUUUCAUCUAGUCAACCGCGAGCGGGUUCGUCUAUUUCGGCCAUGACAUAUGUAUAAUAAUCAAGAUUGAACCGCCAAGAGCAGCCAUUUUUAUUGCAGGAUUGUCUUCAUUUUAUGGAGCGCCGCUUAUACCAAUCGAAUUAAUCGUUAAGACAGAUAAAGUCAUAAAACUUGGUCUCUAUAUUCGAUGUGUUUUUAUUACUAUUAGUAUUUAAGAAUUCAGGGGCAUUUAAUGUUUUAUUAUUAUGUUUUAGUAUUUAGAUAGUUCGGGGUUCAAAGAACCAUGAUAAAGAAUCAAUUAAAAACUAAAUACCUAUUUAUUUUCUGUCUACCGGGGAGUGGCAAUUAAGUAUUAUGUUCAAACAUUAAAGUUUCGAUAUAAUGGUUUUUUAACCUUCCGGAGUAAUAAGUACUCCUCAAUUACUCACUAAUUUUUUUGGCACUCCCUAAGUUUUACCAAAAAAGACGAUGUUUUUCAAAUUGUAUCAUUUAAUGUAUCCAAAUAUGGUGGUGGUGAUGUAACUGGAUUGCUGUAUUAGAAACUUAAUAAAUAUUUCUGUCUAAUAAACAAGAA